rnacentral:rRNA from 1 species
GGCCCCAAAAUGCCCCCCAAACACAAAAGCUUGGUCCCGACUUUUUAGUCAAUUUUUUCUCAACUUAUACAUGCCAGCCUCCCCAUCCCCGUGAGUAACUAUUUUUCCCCGCUAGGGGAACAAAUAGAAAUGGUAUCAGGCACAACAUUUUGCCCAAGACGCCUAGCAAAAGUCACACCCAUAAGGGCCCCAGCAGUAAUUAACAUUGAAUAUGAGUGCCAACUUGAUUCAGUCAGGGAAAGACAGGGCCGGCCAAGCUGGUGCCAGCCGCCGCGGUUACACCAGAGGCCCGAGUUGACUUCCCCUCGGCGUAAAGCGUGGCUGAAAAUCUUCCUUAAAUUGGAGUCAAAUUAAAAUUGAGCAGUAGAAUGCCUAUUCUUAAGAAGCCCCUAAACGAAAGUUACUCCAACUUUAUAACUUGAAUCCACGAUAGCUAGAAUACAAACUAGGAUUAGAUACCCUACUAUGUCUAGCCCUAAACUUUAAAUUACACUUUAAC